AACGAACGCUGGCGGCAUGCCUAACACAUGCAAGUCGAACGAGACCUUCGGGUCUAGUGGCGCACGGGUGCGUAACGCGUGGGAACCUGCCCUUAGGUUCGGAAUAACUCCCCGAAAGGGGUGCUAAUACCGGAUAAUGUCUUCGGACCAAAGAUUUAUCGCCUUUGGAUGGGCCCGCGUUGGAUUAGCUAGUUGGUAGGGUAAAAGCCUACCAAGGCGACGAUCCAUAGCUGGUCUGAGAGGAUGAUCAGCCACACUGGGACUGAGACACGGCCCAGACUCCUACGGGAGGAAGCAGUGGGGAAUAUUGGACAAUGGGCGAAAGACUGAUCCAGCAAUGCCGCGUGAGUGAUGAAGGACUUAGGGUUGUAAAGCUCUUUUACCAGGGAUGAUAAUGACAGUACCGGGAGAAUAAGCUCCGGCUAACUCCGUG
rnacentral:rRNA from 1 species